UGUGUGGGUCUUUCUUGAGCUCUAAGAAGACGUCCAGGAAAGAUAGAGAAACGUGGGUGUCAGUAGCAUUUAAAUCAUAUUUAAAGUCAUGGGACUAGAUGAGAUCAUCAAGAGAGUGAAUUUAGAUAGAAACCAGAAGAGAUUCAAAGACUGAGUGCCAGAGCACUCCAGUCUUUGGAAGUCAAUAAGAUGAGAGGGGGGAAAACAAAAGAGACUACAGCACGGCAUCUAGAAAUGAAAGAUAGAAAGCAGGCAUGUGUCAUACCCUGGCAGCCAGAAGAAGAAGGUGGUUCAAAGAGAGAGACCAACUGUGCCUGAUAUACUGGUGGAUCAAGUGAGAUAAAGGCUAACCAUAUCAUCUGCAAUGUGUGGUCACUGGUCACUGUGGUGAGUGGUUUCAGGAGAGGAGACCCAAGAGAGAAGAAAGGAGAAGAACUGGAGACUGUAAGUCUAUGCAAACAUUUUAAGGAGUUUUGCUGUCAGUGGAGGGAGAAAAAGAAAAAGAAGACAAGAGUUGGAGUUUCAGGGCCAAAUACAACAACAACACACCAGUACCUUCCAAGGCAUAUCCAGCUACAGGAGCUAGUAUUUUAAUGCUAACAACUAAGAAAUAUAUUGAAAUACCCUUACUGGAAGCUCUCAUCUAGUUCUGCAACUUUCUUCUUUAACUCCUGGUUCUCCUUGAUUGCAGUGUGAGCUGUGAUUUCCGUUCUAAUUUUAGAAGCGCUUUCAACUCUUGACAGAAGGCUUCUUUAGACAGCAGCUUGGAGCGGAGGUCUCGAAGCUAACACAGAAAAAACAUAAAAAGGAGGAAAACGAUUUCAAUGGCCUAAAUGGGAACUUUUGCCCAAAUAAUGGACUUCGUAUCCUGUCUCUUUCGACAUCAAUUGAGCAAUGUCUUGGAAUGAUUUAGUGUCACUCAGAGACAUUUAUGGUAUACUUUGCAAAAAGCAAUGGAAUAUUUUGCAAUGGUAACUCGUUUUCUAAAUCUAUUGCUGGGGCACCUGGGUGGCUCAUUCGGUUAAGCUUCUUUCUACCUUCAGUUCAGGUCAUGAUCCCAGGAUCCUGGGUGGC